GAUGAACGCUGGCGGCGUGCCUAACACAUGCAAGCCGAGCGCGGUCCCUUUGGUGCUUGCACCAAAGACGACUGAGCGGCGGACGGGUGAGUAAGCUUGGGAAUCUGGCGAAUGGAGGGGGAUAGCCACGGGAAACUGUGGGUAAUACCGCGUAAUGUCUAAGGACCAAAGGGGUGGGACUGAGAGGCCACCUGCCAUUUGAUGAGCCCAAGUGGGAUUAGGUAGUUGGUGAGGUAAGGGCUCACCAAGCUGACGAUCUCUAGCUGGUCUGAGAGGAUGGCCAGCCACACUGGAACUGAGACACGGCCCAG
rnacentral:rRNA from 1 species